rnacentral:rRNA from 1 species
UACAUGCAGUCGAACGCGCAGCGAAAGGUGCUUGCACCUUUCAAGCGAGUGGCGAACGGGUGAGUAACACGUGGAUAACCUGCCUCAAGGCUGGGGAUAACAUUUGGAAACAGAUGCUAAUACCGAAUAAAACUUAGUAUCGCAUGAUACAAAGUUGAAAGGCGCUACGGCGUCACCUAGAGAUGGGUCCGCGGUGCAUUAGUUAGUUGGUGGGGUAAAGGCCUACCAAGACAAUGAUGCAUAGCCGAGUUGAGAGACUGAUCGGCCACAUUGGGACUGAGACACGGCCCAAACUCCUACGGGAGGCUGCAGUAGGGAAUCUUCCACAAUGGGCGAAAGCCUGAUGGAGCAACGCCGCGUGUGUGAUGAAGGCUUUAGGGUCGUAAAGCACUGUUGUAUGGGAAGAAAUGCUAGAAUAGGGAAUGAUUCUAGUUCGACGGUACCAUACCAGAAAGGGACGGCUAAAUACGUGCCAGCAGCCGCGGUAAUACGUAUGUCCCGAGCGUUAUCCGGAUUUAUUGGGCGUAAAGCGAGCGCAGACGGUUGAUUAAGUCUGAUGUGAAAGCCCGGAGCUCAACUCCGGAAUGGCAUUGGAAACUGGUUAACUUGAGUGUUGUAGAGGUAAGUGGAACUCCAUGUGUAGCGGUGGAAUGCGUAGAUAUAUGGAAGAACACCAGUGGCGAAGGCGGCUUACUGGACAACAACUGACGUUGAGGCUCGAAAGUGUGGGUAGCAAACAGGAUUAGAUACCCUGGUAGUCCACACCGUAAACGAUGAAUACUAGGUGUUAGGAGGUUUCCGCCUCUUAGUGCCGAAGCUAACGCAUUAAGUAUUCCGCCUGGGGAGUACGACCGCAAGUUGAAACUCAAGGAAUUGACGGGGACCCGCACAAGCGGUGGAGCAUGUGGUUUAUUCGAAGCAACGCGAAGAACCUUACCAGUCUUGACAUCCUUUGAGCUUUUAGAGAUAGAAGUGUUCUCUUCGGAGACAAGUGACAGGUGGUGCAUGGUCGUCGUCAGCUCGUGUCGUGAGAUGUGGUUAGUCCCGCAACGAGCGCAACCCUUAUUGUUAGUUGCAAGC